UGUAUGUGUCUGUGAUGUGUGUGUGUGAUGUGUGUGUAUGUAUGAUGUGUGAUGUGUGUGUGUGAUAUGAUAUAUGUGUGUGUGUGUGUGAUGUGUGUGUGUGUGUGUGAUAUAUGUGUGUGUGAUGUGUGAUGUGUGAUGUGUGUGUGUGUGUAUGUAUGUGUUUGUGUGUUGUGGGUGUGAUGUGUGUGUGUGUGUGUAAUUUGUGUAUGAUGUGAUCUGUGUGUAUGUAAUGUGUAUGAUAUAUGUGUGUGUGCGUAUCUCUGUGUGUGUGUGUGAUGUGAUGUUUGUGUGAUUUUUGUGUAUAUGUGUGUGUUUGAUUUGUGUGUGUGUGUGUGUAAUGUGUGUGUGUGUGUGAUGUGUGUGAUAUGUGAUGUGUGUGUGUGAUAUAUGUGUGAUGUGUGUGUGAUAUGUGUGUGUGUUAUAUGUAUGAUAUGCGUGUUUGAUAUGUGGGUGUGAUGUGUGUGUGAUGUGUGUGUGUGUGUGCGUGAUGUAUGUGUAAUGUGUGUGUUUGUGAUAUAUGUGUGUGUGAUGUGUGUGUGUGAUAUGUGUGUGUGAUGUGUGUGUGAUGUAUGUGAUGUGUGUGUGAUAUGUGUGAUGUGUGUAUAUAUGUGUGUGAUGUGUGUGUGUGUG
rnacentral:lncRNA from 1 species